AUUUGGAUGUUUGAGUUCAGGAAGAUACCGAACCCAGUACUCCAACUGUGAGGAUCUUUAAGCCAUAAGAACUUUGGUGUGGAUUUCCUUUGCUCGCUCCAUCAGUAUUACACUUAAUCCAACCCAUUUCAAGGAAAGAAUGAAUCAAUCAGCAAUACUAAAGAAAAAGGGUUCGAAUCUAAACAAAGCUCAAAGUCCACUGAAGAAUCUGGAUUUUGAUAUGCAAUACCGAUCAAGUGCUGAAUUGGCCAACAAAUUCAAGAUUAAGAGAGAACAACUUUCAAAUGAAUGCAAUGAUAGAGCUAAGAAAGAUCAAGCACCAAUACAUCAUAAAAGAAAGAAUUCUGAGGAUUUAAUCCCACAACAAGGAAAGAGUAAAUU